AUUGAACGCUGGCGGCAGGCUUAACACAUGCAAGUCGAGCGGAGAUGAGGUGCCUGCACCUUAUCUUAGCGGCGGACGGGUGAGUAAUGCUUAGGAAUCUGCCUAUUAGUGGGGGACAACAUUCCGAAAGGAAUGCUAAUACCGCAUACGUCCUACGGGAGAAAGCAGGGGAUCUUCGGACCUUGCGCUAAUAGAUGAGCCUAAGUCGGAUUAGCUAGUUGGUGGGGUAAAGGCCUACCAAGGCGACGAUCUGUAGCGGGUCUGAGAGGAUGAUCCGCCACACUGGGACUGAGACACGGCCAGACUCCUACGGGAGGCAGCAGUGGGGAAUAUUGGACAAUGGGGGGAACCCUGCUCCAGCCAUGCCGCGUGUGUGAAGAAGGCCUUAUGGUUGUAAAGCACUUUAAGCGAGGAGGAGGCUACUGAGACUAAUACUCUUGGAUAGUGGACGUUACUCGCAGAAUAAGCACCGGCUAACUCUGUGCCAGCCGCCGCGGUAAUAC
rnacentral:rRNA from 1 species